GCUACCACAUCCAAGGAAGGCAGCAGGCGCGCAAAUUACCCACUCCCGGCACGGGGAGGUAGUGACGAAAAAUAACGAUACGGGACUCAUCCGAGGCCCCGUAAUCGGAAUGAGCACACUUUAAAUCCUUUAACGAGUAUCCAUUGGAGGGCAAGUCUGGUGCCAGCAGCCGCGGUAAUUCCAGCUCCAAUAGCGUAUAUUAAAGUUGUUGCGGUUAAAAAGCUCGUAGUCGGACUUGUGUCACACGCUGCCGGUUCACCGCCCGUCGGUGUUUAACUGGCAUGCACGUGCUGACGUCCUGCCGGUGGCCCGAGCCGGGCCGGGAGCUCUUGGUGCGGGUUCCCUCCAGGUUCCCCGCCUCGACCCCGGUCUCUGGGGAAGGCCUACUCAUACCCCUCGCGGUGCUCUUAACCGAGUGUCACGAUGGGCCGGCACGUUUACUUUGAACAAAUUAGAG
rnacentral:rRNA from 1 species